ACUAGAACCUAGAAGGUUCUAGAGUUCUCGAGCUUAGAACAUUGGAGAAAGCAUGGUGAGAGAUGGACUGGAGAGCAUGGCAGAGACCAGGGGCCAGGCAAGUCCCAGCAGCGGCUGACAACGGGUCAGCCCCUGGUCCACAGCUACAGCUCGAGCCGGGCUCCUAUGCCACUACAUCGUCAUCUUAUCUCUUCAGACCGGAAGGAGGCAAUGGCUUCCUGUGGUACCGGUGCCUGGAGCCUCCACAUCCCUGCCCACAGCUCUGUACACGGUCCCUUCAUUAGAACUCGCCUUGGUGGGCCCUUGUCAGCAGAAUUCUGCUUCCCGCAGAACCCUGGCUAUACGUGUAUGUCUUUGCUAAAAAGUCUUGCAGAUGCCCAGAGGUGGGAAGAAAUAAUCUAGCUGCAAAUCCG
rnacentral:lncRNA from 1 species